AAAUCGAUGCUAGAAGAGACAAUUUUUCAGCAUGGAUUGCUCUAGGCAAAGAACUCUUGUCAAGAGGACAUCAUGCCACUAACGAGAUCAAAGAGAAACUGGUAACCCUCACCAACCAACGCAAUUCCAUGCUGCACCGAUAGGAGGAACGUUGGGAACACCUCCAGCUCAUUUUGGAAGUCUACCAAUUCGCCCGAUAUGCAGCCGUGGCAGAAGGAUGGUUGAUGGCGCAAGAAUCCUACCUGAUGAGUCACGAAUUGGGACACACCAUUGAUGAGGUGGAAAAUUUGAUCAAGAAACACGAGGCGUUUGAUAAAUCUGCGGCCGCCCAAGAAGAACGCUUCGCUGCCCUCGAGAGAUUGAUGACGCUGGGGCUUAGGGAACAAGAGAAACUUUUGGGCGAAGACGGCGAACCCUACGGUCAACAUUUCGAUGGGUACAAUCGUCCCGAAGACACGGUAGCUUUUUUCCACCUUUUCCACCGGCUUUCUUUUUUU